rnacentral:lncRNA from 1 species
UACUUAUUAAUUUUAAAUGAGGAUGAAAGGCGACUGCUCACUAAGUUCAGAGUCAGUGCACAUAAAUUAGAAAUUGAAAGAGCAGAUAUGUGGGGCUUCGAGUGGAGGAUAGAAUAUGUAAAUUAUGUAACACUGAAGUUGAAGAUGAAAUUCAUUUUCUUCUUCGGUGUCCUGUUUUAGAAAAUAAAAGAUCUGAAUAUAUAGAUUACUUAAAUAAGGUUAACAAAAACUUUAAAAGC